CCUACGGGUGGCAGCAGUGAGGAAUAUUGGUCAAUGGGCGCGAGCCUGAACCAGCCAAGUCGCGUGAAGGAAGACGGCCCUAUGGAUUGUAAACCUCUUUUGUCGGGGAGCAAAAGACGCCACGCGUGGCGUUUCGGGAGUAACCGAAGAAAAAGCAUCGGCUAACUCCGUGCCAGCAGCCGCGGUAAUACGGAGGAUCCGAGCGUUAUCCGGAUUUAUUGGGUUUAAAGGGUGCGCAGGCGGAAGAUGAAGUCAGCGGUAAAAUUGGGGGGCUCAACCCCUUCGAGACGUUGAAACUGGUUUUCUUGAGUGUGCGAGAGGGAUGCGGAAUGCGUGGUGUAGCGGUGAAAUGCAUAGAUAUCACGCAGAACUCCGAUUGCGAAGGCAGCAUACCGGCGCUCAACUGACGCUCAUGCACGAAAGUGUGGGUAUCGAACAGGAUUAGAUACCCGAGUAGUC
rnacentral:rRNA from 1 species